AGAAGACUGCGCUGUGUGAAUGAGCUGUCCCUUGCUGUAGAUGUCAACAGCCAAGUACCGAAGGAGCGAAAUGGAACAGCAAAGUUGGACUUCCUCAGAAAGACAGGAAAUCCAACAGAAAUGGGAGAAGGAAAGAACGUUUGAUUGUGACGCACACACCACUAUUGGGGAAAGCACAAAAAGGGCGACGUGAAGCCCCCAGCCAAGCCCUCCCACUGCACCAUCCAAGUGGCCAAGACGUACCCCUCCUGGCAGCACAAUACCCUCUCUCUGCUGGGAAAACACUACAAGACGAGUACUAACCCCCAGGAAUCUGCCUGGUUGGGAAUCAGACCGGGAAGACUGAGUGAGCCUAUGAACUUCACUCAACUGUAUGUCCCAAAUAGCACUAUAAGCGGAAUAGGGUCCUAUAGGGCUCUGGUCAAAACUAGUGCACAAUG